CUGGCAACACCACUGCAAGGGCAUGUGUAUGUGCGUGCACCGCCUCACACCAUUGCAGUCUGUGCACAGAGAUAAUUUUUUCCCCCUUCAGGGUCGCAAAGAGCAACUGUACAAAAGACUUUUUUUUAAUAGAAUAUGUUCUUAUCUUUCGUAAAACAUGGACCCACCCGACACUUGGACUGGUCUGUGAGCCCCACCCUUGCCCUUUUGUUUGGAGCCUGGGAUCAUAUGAUGAACUGGGCUAGACAAUGGACUACUAAAUCAAUACAGUCAGACUCAGUUCCAGACACCUGGGGGCUGAUGGAGGGCCUCUGUGGAGCCAGCUGUCACAGAGGAAGACCUGGGAGGAGCCUUGCCUUCAGAGAUAUAACCCCGUCUGUCACAGAGGACAAAUCAACCAACCCUACCAUCCUGAUGGAGAAGGGGUUUGUGCUUUGCCUCAGAAAACAGAGGAAGGCAAUGAGGCCCCUCAAAUGGUCCUGUUUUCUGCAAACAAGACAAAACAAGGAAAUGAGCUAUCAUCCCUGCCUUUCAGUGCAGCACGUCCGCUGUCCUCUUGACAGUGUGGAACAGGAAGAAAAUAUAAAUUCCUUCAUUUCAUGGGAUGGGAAAACAACUUUGUCAGCUCAGCUUAGAUGGAGUCACUAACUUACUUUGAAGACCUUAGGUAGUGUAAUACAG
rnacentral:lncRNA from 1 species